AAUGGGUCAGCGACUUAUAUUCUGUAGCAAGGUUAACCGAAUAGGGGAGCCGAAGGGAAACCGAGUCUUAACUGGGCGUUAAGUUGCAGGGUAUAGACCCGAAACCCGGUGAUCUAGCCAUGGGCAGGUUGAAGGUUGGGUAACACUAACUGGAGGACCGAACCGACUAAUGUUGAAAAAUUAGCGGAUGACUUGUGGCUGGGGGUGAAAGGCCAAUCAAACCGGGAGAUAGCUGGUUCUCCCCGAAAGCUAUUUAGGUAGCGCCUCGUGAAUUCAUCUCCGGGGGUAGAGCACUGUUUCGGCAAGGGGGUCAUCCCGACUUACCAACCCGAUGCAAACUGCGAAUACCGGAGAAUGUUAUCACGGGAGACACACGGCGGGUGCUAACGUCCGUCGUGAAGAGGGAAACAACCCAGACCGCCAGCUAAGGUCCCAAAGUCAUGGUUAAGUGGGAAACGAUGUGGGAAGGCCCAGACAGCCAGGAUGUUGGCUUAGAAGCAGCCAUCAUUUAAAGAAAGCGUA
rnacentral:rRNA from 1 species